rnacentral:ncRNA from 1 species
CUUGAGAGGAGUUGCCCCUAGUACGAGAGGACCGGGGUGAACGAUCCACUGGUGGACCUGUUGUUGCGCCAGCAGCAGUGCAGGGUAGCUAUGAUCGGACAGGAUAACCGCUGAAGGCAUCUAAGCGGGAAGCCCCCCUCAAAACAAGGUAUCCCUGAGGGCCGUGGAAGACCACCACGUCGAUAGGCCGGAGAUGUAAGCACAGUAAUGUGUUCAGUUGACCGGUACUAAUUGCCCGAUAGGCUUGAUUUG